UGGGGAAUUUUGCACAAUGGGGGAAACCCUGAUGCAGCGACGCCGCGUGAUUUAGAAGGCCUUCGGGUUGUAAAAAUCUUUUCUAUGGGAAGAAAAUGACAGUACCAUAGGAAUAAGGACCGGCUAAUUACUUGCCAGCAGCCGCGGUAAUACGUAAGGUCCGAGCGUUGUCCGGAAUCAUUGGGCGUAAAGGGUACGUAGGCGGGUAAGCAAGUUAGAAGUGAAAUCCUAUAGCUCAACUAUAGUAAGCUUUUAAAACUGCUCAUCUUGAGGUAUGGAAGGGAAAGUGGAAUUCCUAGUGUAGCGGUGAAAUGCGCAGAUAUUAGGAGGAAUACCGGUGGCGAAGGCGACUUUCUGGCCAUAACCUGACGCUGAGGUACGAAAGCGUGGGUAGCAAACAGG
rnacentral:rRNA from 1 species